CACACUGCAAAAGUUGCCCAAUUUUUUUUAAAAAAACGUUACAAAUUGUUAAAAGAAAGGGCCAAGACGUGCAAAGAUCUAAGGUUUAUGUCUCAAAAUCCCAAAGCAUACGAAAAAUUUAUCACAUCUAGAUAAUUGGGUUUUCGAGUAAUGUGAAAAGGAUCGAAAGAAGCUUUACUUCGUGAGAAAGUAUGAAAUCUUUUUUUCUUCUUUCGAAAAAACGUUACCAAAGUCAAAACAGAGGAG